GGUUUGGUGGUGGAUGGUCCACGUCUGUCUGAUGUACGAAGGAAUGCUUCCGACUUCAAGCAGAAGACGCCUGUUCGAAUCAGGUCCGAGCCA